rnacentral:rRNA from 1 species
AGAGUUUGAUCAUGGCUCAGAACGAACGUUAGCGGCGCGCCUAACACAUGCAAGUCGCGCGAGAAAGGGCUUCGGCCCCAGUAAAGCGGCGCACGGGUGAGUAACACGUAGGUCAUCUUCCCCUGAGUGGUGGAUAACUCUCCGAAAGGAGAGCUAAUACAGCAUAAGACCACGACCUCGCUGAGGUUGUGGCCAAAGCAGACCUCUUCAUGAAAGUUUGCGCUUAGGGAUGAGCCUGCGGCCCAUCAGCUAGUUGGUAGGGUAAUGGCCUACCAAGGCUAAGACGGGUAGCUGGUCUGAGAGGAUGAACAGCCACACUGGAACUGAGACACGGUCCAGACUCCUACGGGAGGCAGCAGUGGGGAAUCUUGCGCAAUGGGCGAAAGCCUGACGCAGCGACGCCGCGUGAGCGAUGAAGGCCUUCGGGUUGUAAAGCUCUGUGGGGAGGGAAGAAUAAGUCUUGGCUAAUAUCCAAGAUGAUGACGGUACCUCCUUAGCAAGCACCGGCUAACUCUGUGCCAGCAGCCGCGGUAAGACAGAGGGUGCAAACGUUGUUCGGAAUUACUGGGCGUAAAGCGCGUGUAGGCGGCUAAGUAAGUCGGGCGUGAAAUCCCACGGCUCAACCGUGGAAGUGCACUCGAAACUGCAUAGCUAGAGUCCUGGAGAGGAAGGUGGAAUGCUUGGUGUAGAGGUGAAAUUCGUAGAUAUCAAGCGGAACACCGGUGGCGAAGGCGGCCUUCUGGACAGUGACUGACGCUGAGACGCGAAAGCGUGGGGAGCAAACAGGAUUAGAUACCCUAGUAGUCC